UUUUUCUUUCAUUAUAUAUAAAGUUUACAUCUGACACGUGUCUUUCUUAACCUUGCGAGAUUUUCAUCAGGAUCCCCACGGUUCUUUCCAAACCCUAUUCACUUCUACGCCUUCAUACGUUCCUAAUAUAUCCAUUUAUUCAUGCCUAAUCAUCUUCGCAAGAUCUUAUAAUCUUCUCCAUCGUCGUCCAAGAAGUUCCUGAUUCUCGAUUUUUAGUCAAGAUACCACAGGUUAAGACUACGAAUCCGAAGAAGUAUUGUGUCCGUCCCAACACCGAAGUUGUUUUACCUAAAUCAACAUGUGAAAUUAUAGUCAGAGUGAUCAAAAUCUUGUGAUGGCUUCAAAGAGGAUAUCACAAGGAGUUUGUGGCAGCGUGGAGUCUGGGAAAUCGAGCUUUAUUUCUUGUAUUCUUGGUGAAAUCCCGAAAAUAUCCGGUGAAGUUCAAAUUUGUGGGUCAAAAGCUUAUGUAUCGCAGUCCGCAUGGAUACAGUCCGGAAACAUUGAAGAAAAUAUUUUAUUCGGUAAUCCAAUGGUGUCUACAUACAAAAGAACACUUCAAGCAUGUUCGUUGAAAAAAGAUUUGGAGCUUUUUUCACAUGGAGAUCAAAUGAUUAUCGACGAUCGUGGUAUAAACUUGAGUGGGGGCCAAAAACAAAGGGUGCAGUUAGCAAUGGCACUUUAUCAAGAUGCUGACAUAUAUCUACUUAAUGAUCCGUUUAGUGUUGUAGAUGCACACUCUGGAUCAGAACUCUUUAAGUUGCAGAUGUAGUUAUUUGUCGUUUACUCUGGAUCAAAACUCUUUAAGCUGCAGAUAUAGUUAUUUGUCGUUUACUGAAAGUUCAAAAUCUUGUGAUGGCUUCAAAGAGGAUUCAAAAGGAGUUUGUGGCAGCGUGGGGUCCGGGAAAUCGAGCUUUAUUUCUUGUAUUCUUCGUGAAAUCCUGAAAAUAUCCGGUGAAGUUCGAAUUUGAGUCAUGAUCUACAUCAAGAUUUAAGACCCCUAUUAAUCGUCUCUAUAAAUAUACGUACAGCUUCAAUUCGUUCCAAACCAUUCAUCAGCCUUAUGCUCUCACCAUUGUUUUCAACCUCCGAAACCAACCUUCUUGGCAACCUGCGACAACGUCACCACUAAGUUUGAAACGCACGUGAACCGUUGUACCAGGAUAUCAGGACGGGAGCUAUCAUUGGGCGUGGCACUGAAAGACGAGGGUUAUACUAUGUGGAUGAGGUGACUCAAAGUGGUAUUGUAUUGCUUUCUCAUGGAACAAUAGAACGAGAAGCUUGGCUAUGGCAUAGGAGAUUGGGGCAUCCAUCUAUGGGUUAUUUGCAUAUUUUAUUUCCUAAGUUAUUUCCUUCUAAUUACAAGACACAUUGUGAAACUUGUAUGUUGGCCAAGAGUCAUCGAAAAACUUUUAAACCAAAUAACACAAAGGUCGAUGAACCUUUUUCAUUGAUU